UAAAUAUCGUUGGAAAUAGGUUCCAAGUUAUGCAAUGAUAACUUGGAUUAAAAGGGAAGUCGGUGAAAAUCCGACACGGUCCCGCCACUGUAACGAGGAGUCUGUAUAAAUCAUUGCCACUGAUUGAAAAAUUGGGAAGGCCUUAUACAGACGGUGAAUCGAAGUCAGGAGACCUGCCUAUUUUCAAAACACAAA
rnacentral:ncRNA from 1 species